AUGAAUAUGAUGCAACGUGGGUGCAACUGCACCAUCUGCAAGGCAGUACCACAAACAGAACAGUGAUACCGUUGUCAUGGCAGUGUUGAAUGAGCAAUAGAAAUAAAAAUCCAUAUUUCUCACCACUGGGCAUGAUGGAGACCACCAGUUUGGGAGAAGAGCCACAUACUGCGUUACCCUGCAUUUAAAAUGUUUACAAUUAUACAAAAGUGCCCACAUAAUGAAGGGUUUAGUCGAAUUACUGUAUAAUUUACCAGGGUAAAGGACUCUGCUGAUCAUGCCUGGGAACACCAUGAGGAACAUAGGCAGCAGUUUCAAGUAGCCGCACAAGAUGCAUCCAGCUUUGACAUGAGUCAGACUGCGGGCAGCUAAACAGCGCUGAACAAUGACCUACGCCACAGAGGAAGAGUAUAUGUCAUCCUGUUUGCUAAGAAGAGUUAGCAUAUGUGGAGAAAGGUUCUCUGAUCUCAUGAAAUCAAAAUGUUUUGUCCUUGGCAUAAAGUGGUACAUUUGGCAGAAACCCAACACUUCUCAUCACCCUGAGAACACCAUCCCUACAGUGAAGCAUGGUGGUGGAAGCAUCGUGCUGUGGUGAUUGCUUUAAAUCAGAAAGAACUGGGAAGCUGCUCAGGGUUGAGGGCAUUAUGGAUGAAACCAAACACAGUGCAAUCUGAGAAGAAACGCUUUCCCAGUCCUACAAGUGACUUUAAGCUGGAGUAGAGGUUCACGUUCCAGCAGGAUAACAACCCUCAGGAAACUGCCAAAGCUUCACUGGAGUGCUUCAAACCAAGAAACUGUGGCCCAGUCAAGGCCCAGACCACUAAUCUAAAAAUGUUAUGCUUAUACUGGUCCGGUCGGGUCUGAUUUGUCCGUGCUUAAAUGUUUAAUAUAUACUUUAUUCGUAUUUUAUUCAUGAAAUUGCUGUAAUGUUGGCACGGCUCACCUGGUCAGUGCACCAGUACCAUCCUCCUACAAUAGCGAUGCCAAAUAACACACCAGGCCAUGGCAGGUCUCCAUUCACAGGAUCCCUCAGCAGGUGGAAGGCGUCCUCACGCGG